UAGUUUAAUUUUGUGCGUAAUCCACCCUUCCUUAGCCCUCCCACACUGGUAAAGCUGGUACCCUAGUGGCAUGGUCUACAGAGGCCUCCCCUUCCCCAGCAGUUCGAGGCUCUUCACUCUUCCAGAUCCCAGAGCUUCUGCUCUGUUUUACUCCUGGUCAAAAUCCCAGCAUCCUUCUGUACCUCUCAAAAGCCCUGUUCUUCGGGAAGCUGCCCCCGGACUACUUUUGUUUCCCAGGAUUUUGAAGCCUGAAUACCAGGGCUUACUUGGGAGAAUCUGUUCUUUGGCUUGAAGAAGCGGAAUCGAGUGAAGGAGACAGAAAAAUAGAGUUAACAAUACAGUGAUAAGUGCUUAUACCAGUGACAUACAGGGCCUGUGGGAACAUAAAGCUAACCAAGCAGAGUGGGUCGGGGGCCUGCUGAGGCCAUUUCUCUCUCUUUUUUUUUCUUAAUUGACACAGAAUUGUACAUAUUUAUGGGGUAUAUAGUGAUGUUCCGAUAAAUGUAAUGUAUAGUGAUCAGAUCAAGGUAGUUAGCAUAUUCACCUCAAACGUGUAUCAUUUCUUUGUGUUGGGAGCAUUUAAUAUCCUAGCUAUUUGAAACUAUAUAUUAUUGUCAGCUAUAGUCAUCCUACAGUGCUAUAGAACACUAGAACUUAUUCCUUCCAUAUAGCUGUAAUUUUGUAUCUUCUAACAAAUCUCUCCAUAUUCCCCCCCGCCUCUCCUCCGCUGAAGCCAUUUCUGCACCACAGGUGCCUUGAAUCCCCGGCCACACUGAGCACUUCAUAGAGGAGGGUGGGCACGCCGGCAUAGGAAACAGCCUUACCUAUCCUUUGCCCAGAGAUAGUUCUAGUUUUGUCCUUGUUGGGGCAGGUGUUAGGGAUGAAGUGAGAUUGCCAUCAAGAAGGUAGAUCAUGAGCCUGCCCACCUCCCACUGUUCUUACCCUUUCCUUGGUGUCUGUGCAGCAGAGCCAGCUGCUUUACUAACAUUCUUUUUCCCCCAAAGAUGAAAUGUGGCAACUGUGGUGAGAUUUCGGACAAGUGGCAGUACAUCCGGCUGAUGGACAGUGUGGCACUGAAGGGGGGCCGUGGCAGUGCUUCCAUGGUCCAGAAGUGCAAGCUGUGUGCAAGAGAAAAUUCCAUCGAGAUUUUAAGCAGCACCAUCAAGCCUUACAAUGCUGAAGACAAUGAGAACUUCAAGACAAUAGUGGAGUUUGAGUGCCGGGGCCUUGAACCAGUUGAUUUCCAGCCGCAGGCUGGGUUUGCUGCUGAAGGUGUGGAGUCAGGGACAGCCUUCAGUGACAUUAAUCUGCAGGAGAAGGACUGGACUGACUAUGAUGAAAAGGCCCAGGAGUCUGUGGGAAUCUAUGAGGUCACCCACCAGUUUGUGAAGUGCUGAUCCCUCUUCCUUCCCAGUUGCCCUUAAGAACUGAGAAAGGACAAAGUACUCUAAGCAGCAAACCCCACAGAGGCUCGUUCCUUUGACCCUUGUCUCCUGGUGGCUAUACAAAACCUUCACAAUCUGCAUGCUGGACUUUAUUACAGCUUCCCAAGCCCCAUCAAUAAAGCCCCUGUUCAUGCUGCACUGGUGCAUGAAGGUGAAGUAAGGAGGCAGCUACUCCCUCCACAAAUAAGAAUUCGUGCAGCAGCAGUUCACUCCUUAGGAAAAUGAAGAGUAUUUUUAAGGAGAUGGUAUCUCCCCAGUCAAGGGCAAGUUUACAGAGAUGAAACCGCGAUCCCACCAUCACUCAAUGAGCCAGAAGCCAAUGGUGAUGUACUGUUAGCUGAACUUACUGAACUUGCUGUUGGAAAGAUCUUUGUGAGGAUUAGGAAUUAGGUUAAAAGAAAUUAAGAACCAUCUUCAAGCAAAAAUUAAACUUUAUUUCUGCUUAAACAAUAAAUACACCUGAGUUAGUUUUCC
rnacentral:sRNA from 1 species